UACGAAGGGUGCAAGCGUUAAUCGGAAUUACUGGGCGUAAAGCGUGCGUAGGCGGUUGGCUAAGUCAGAUGUGAAAGCCCUGGGCUCAACCUGGGAAUGGCAUUUGAAACUGGCCGGCUAGAGUGUGAUAGAGGAUGGCGGAAUUCCCGGUGUAGCGGUGAAAUGCGUAGAUAUCUGGAGGAACACCGGUGGCGAAGGCGGCAUCCUGGACCAACACUGACACUGAGGAGCGAAAGCCAGGGGAGCAAACAGG
rnacentral:rRNA from 1 species